UGCCAGACCAUGUCUUCCCCUCUGCAGAUCUUUGUUUUCUUCUGUUUUUACUGUCAGGUGAGCGCUGUUAGAUUUCAACCAUCUCCUGCUCAGAUAGUGGAGGAGAGCACUGAGGUCCAGAUUACAUGCAGCCAUGACGAUUCUACCCUUUCAGCAAUGCUCUGGUAUCAGCAGAGAAAAGACAGUCUCUCUAUGACCCUCAUUGGGUAUGGAUAUGUAACCGGCCAAAACUACGAGGGUCAGUUUGAAAAAGAGUUUGAGCUGACGAGAGAAGACACGCUGAAAGGAGCUCUGAUUAUACGCUCAGCAAACCUGUCACACUCGGCUGUGUAUUUCUGCGCUGCCAGUACACAGUGAUGUGGUGAACGCCAGUCCCUUACUAAAACCCUCAUCUCUUUCCUGAACACGAGAUCUGUGCAUGUUCACAGGAGGCGGUGUCUCUACACACCAUCAGAGGCAGCAGUGUUUCUCCUGCUACAGCACAGACCUGAAGGAUGUCUCCAGCUGUGA